rnacentral:rRNA from 1 species
CCUACGGGAGGCAGCAGUGGGGAAUCUUCGGCAAUGGGCGAAAGCCUGACCGAGCAACGCCGCGUGAGUGAAGAAGGCCUUCGGGUUGUAAACUUCUGUUAUCAGGGAAGAAAGGUGAUAGGAGGAAAUGACUAUCAAUUGACGGUACCUUAUGAGAAAGCCACGGCUAACUACGUGCCAGCAGCCGCGGUAAUACGUAGGUGGCAAGCGUUAUCCGGAAUUAUUGGGCGUAAAGCGCGCGCAGGUGGUAAAUUAAGUCUGAUGUGAAAGCCCACGGCUUAACCGUGGAGGGUCAUUUGAAACUGGUUGACGUGAGUGUAGAAGAGGGAAGUGGAAUUCCAGGGGUAGCGGUGAAAUGCGUAGAGAUAUGGAGGAACACCAGUGGCGAAGGCGGCUACCUGGUCUGCAACUGACACUGAGGCGCGAAAGCGUGGGUAGCAAACAGGAUUAGAUACCCUAGUAGUC